GCUGUAUUAAAAUAUACAGCUGUGAAGGACUGGGGAAAUAUCUCAAAAUAAGAAAGAAGCAGCACAGCGCUCUUAUCCAGAACAGAGAUAACGUGGCCAUAGACCUCCAGAUUUUAAGACAGUAGGCAGUUGGAUCCCUGG